CAGUGUGUAAACUUCUACCAAACUUAGAGAAGUAAAAAAAAAGUUAAGUGGAAAAAGCAUAAUUUACUGGGCAAAAAAUGUAUGAAAAAUUAAUUCCAAAGUCCACACAAAGUGCCAAGUGGUAUACACAACAUAGCACGUAGUAUCAAAUGAAAACUGUGACAAAUACUAUAGUAAUACCCACAUUGAGAGGAGGAGUUGGUUGACAGCUAGUAGCUCCAGAUGAGAUUCGAUGUCUUUGAACAAGUUCAUCAGCUGGUGGAUCUGUCCAAAAAUGGUCUUGGGUUUUCGUUUUGGAAUAAUCUAGAGCACAUGGUCCGACCAGUAAAGAGCUAAGGAUGGAUCCACAGUCUGGAUCAGCAACUAACGAAUCCUUCUCGUAGUAUCUGCUGCUAUUUUCUACCAAAUAUGCAAUAAUUCCUGCUAGCUGUUUUUCUAAAACAAAGGAGGUGGUAAUGGUUUACUGGUGCUGUCUCCACUGCUGGAAGAUUUCCUGUUGGAUGGUUCAACAUUCUCCAAUUCCUGCACCAUUCUUGAAAUUUGAUGGGCAGGUGGAAAGCUUUUGGCUACUUUGUGCAAUAGCGCAGUUGUAGAGCUAGUUUUAAACAAUCCUAGCGCUCGCCUUCGUAGCCCCUGGGACAAGCAUGCCUCCACUGCAGCUAAAAUUAUUGGAAUGGAUGUGCAUUAAUGGCGUUGAAGAAAAAAAGUGCACAAUGUUUCAAUCUUACAAUAAGUGAAUCCUGCUAUAAUUUGCGUGUUGUACAAUGAAGAUAAAUAAUUUUUGGAGAAAGUAUAGUAUUGAAAAUAGAAAUCAUUUCAAGAAAUCAUGUACACAAUGAAAUAUAAGCACGUAAAUUUUCACCAGAAAUGCACCUUGCUGUUAGAAGACCAAAUGACUACAUGGUUAUUAUGUGAUAAGAGCUUGAAUGCAGGGGGGUGGCCUGAUUGCCAAAAAACAUAAACAUGCACACCUUUCAAUUUCUGGUUGUAGGAUACAGUUAUGAGUAAAAAUAUACAAAGCAUAGAUAGGUGUGCAAAUAUACACAUAUGCACUAUGU